rnacentral:rRNA from 1 species
CAGAUCAGGUAGGAAUACCCGCUGAACUUAAGCAUAUCAU